UACGUAGGGGGCAAGCGUUGUCCGGAUUUAUUGGGCGUAAAGAGCGUGUAGGCGGCCAAGCAGGUCCGCUGUGAAAACUCGAGGCUCAACCUCGAGACGUCGGUGGAAACCGUUUGGCUAGAGUCCGGAAGAGGAGAGUGGAAUUCCCGGUGUAGCGGUGAAAUGCGUAGAUAUCAAGAGGAACACCUGAGGUGAAGACGGGUUGCUGGGCCGACACUGACGCUGAGUGCGCGAAAGCCAGGGGAGCAAACGGG
rnacentral:rRNA from 1 species